GGGGGCAUAGCUCAGUGGUAGAGUGUGUGCUCGACAUGCACGAGCCCCUGGGUUCAAUUCCCAGUGCCUCCG